CUAAAAGGUGCUCCUUGAACUGAUGGAUUUGAAUUGUAUUCAAACAUCAUUCUACCAGUUCAGAGCACCUUUUAGAUGUUAAAAUCAAAGUCGAUCGGCUAAAUUUUCGGUGGAUCCAG
rnacentral:sRNA from 1 species